rnacentral:sRNA from 1 species
GUCAUCAACCCCUGUCUAAAGGCUAGGGGCUUGUCCGAAACAAGUCGGACAACGUAAGUGGCGACUAGCUCACCAUCGACACAGUUUGGCACACACCUCCGGAUGCUUCUCCAGUCCGGACUAUUUGUAAGACUUCUUGUUAAGUCGUGGGGUAAAGCCCAGUUAUCUUAACUGUGUUGAGCGAGGAGACUUUUAACGGGUUUGCUGGUUCCUG